rnacentral:rRNA from 1 species
GACGAACGCUGGCGGCGUGCUUAACACAUGCAAGUCGAACGGAAAGGCCCCCUUGUGGGGUACUCGAGUGGCGAACGGGUGAGUAACACGUGAGUAACCUACCCUUGACUUUGGGAUAACUUCAUGAAACUGGGGCUAAUACCGGAUAGGAGCUCCUGCUGCAUGGUGGGGGUUGGAACGUUUUGGCGGUUGGGGAUGGACUCGCGGCUUAUCAGCUUGUUGGUGGGGUAGUGGCUCACCAAGGCUUUGACGGGUAGCCGGCCUGAGAGGGUGACCGGCCACAUUGGGACUGAGAUACGGCCCAGACUCCUACGGGAGGCAGCAGUGGGGAAUAUUGCACAAUGGGCGGAAGCCUGAUGCAGCAACGCCGCGUGCGGGAUGACGGCCUUCGGGUUGUAAACCGCUUUCGCCUGUGACGAAGCGUGAGUGACGGUAAUGGGUAAAGAAGCACCGGCUAACUACGUG